AGGGCACCACCAGGAGUGGAGCCUGCGGCUUAAUUUGACUCAACACGGGAAAUCUCACCAGGCCCGGACACCGGAAGGAUUGACAGAUUGAGAGCUCUUUCUUGAUUCGGUGGGUGGUGGUGCAUGGCCGUUCUUAGUUGGUGGAGCGAUUUGUCUGGUUAAUUCCGAUAACGAACGAGACUCUGGCCUACUAAAUAGACGUUAGAUCCCUUUGUGGGUCUAUCGCAGCUUCUUAGAGGGACGGGCGGCGUUCAGCCGCACGAGAUUGAGCAAUAACAGGUCUGUGAUGCCCUUAGAUGUUCUGGGCUGCACGCGCGCUACACUGAAGGAAUCAGCGUGUGUUCCCUGCCCGAAAGGACUGGGAAACCCGUUGAACCUCCUUCGUGAUGGGGAUUGGGGAUUGCAAUUAUUCCCCAUGAACGAGGAAUUCCCAGUAGGCGCGAGUCAUAAGCUUGCGUCGAUUACGUCCCUGCCCUUUGUACACACCGCCCGUCGCUACUACCGAUCGAGUGAUUUAGU
rnacentral:rRNA from 1 species